rnacentral:rRNA from 1 species
GAUGAACGCUGGCGGCGUGCCUAAUACAUGCAAGUCGAGCGAACAGACGAGGAGCUUGCUCCUCUGACGUUAGCGGCGGACGGGUGAGUAACACGUGGAUAACCUACCUAUAAGACUGGGAUAACUUCGGGAAACCGGAGCUAAUACCGGAUAAUAUAUUGAACCGCAUGGUUCAAUAGUGAAAGACGGUUUUGCCGUCACUUAUAGAUGUAUCCGCGCCGCAUUAGCUAGUUGGUAAGGUAACGGCUUACCAAGGCAACGAUGCGUAGCCGACCUGAGAGGGUGAUCGGCCACACUGGAACUGAGACACGGUCCAGACUCCUACGGGAGGCAGCAGUAGGGAAUCUUGCGCAAUGGGCGAAAGCCUGACGGAGCAACGCCGCGUGAGUGAUGAAGGUCUUCGGAUCGUAAAACACUGUUAUUAGGGAAGAACAAAUGUGUAAGUAACUAUGCACGUCUUGACGGUACCUAAUCAGAAAGCCACGGCUAACUACGUG